rfam:Ipomoea nil DNA, scaffold: scaffold1895, cultivar: Tokyo-kokei standard.
GUGGUUGUAGUUUUGUGGUAAGAAUUCCAUGUUGUGGUCGUGGAAACUUGAGCUCGAAUCCUAGCAGCCACA